AGCGAACGCUGGCGGCAGGCCUAACACAUGCAAGUCGAGCGCCCCGCAAGGAGAGCGGCAGACGGGAGAGUAACACGUGGGAACGUACCCUUUGGUUCGGAACAACCCAGGGAAACUUGGGCUAAUACCGGAUAAGCCCUUACGGGGAAAGAUUCAUCGCCGAAGGAUCGGCCCGCGUCUGAUUAGCUAGUUGGUGGGGCAACGGCCCACCAAGGCGACGAUCAGUAGCUGGUCUGAGAGGAUGAUCAGCCUCACUGGGACUGAGACACGGCCCAGACUCCUACGGGAGGCAGCAGUGGGGAAUAUUGGACAAUGGGCGCAAGCCUGAUCCAGCCAUGCCGCGUGGGUGAUGAAGGCCCUAGGGUUGUAAAGCCCUUUCGGCGGGGAAGAUAAUGACGGUACCCGCAGAAGAAGCCCCGGCUAACUUCGUGCCAGCCGCCGCAGUAACAC
rnacentral:rRNA from 1 species